GCACUGGCGGGGAGAGCUGGCACGGGAGGGGGAGCUAGGGAGAGAGGGAGGGGAAGGAGACAGAGAGAGGGAAAGGAGGAGGAGGAGGACCAGGAGGAGGAGGGAGACAGGCAGGGGGAGGAGAGGAGGAGGCUCCGCGCCCCGCCACCAGCAGCACCUCCGCCGCCUUCACCACUGCCACAGCCACCAGCGUCCGCCCGGCUGCGCAGGACCUGCCACCGCCGCCGCUGCCGCCGCUGCCGCCGCCUGCCAGACAUCCGGGGCGGGCGACCCUGACCGCUGGGACUCUGUCGCGUCCUCUGACUUCUCCUUCUCUGUCCAAUUCUUUUGGGGUGAAACACUGUUUUAAGCUCUUUGGUGCCAGCGGUUUUCGAGGCUUCUGGGGCUGUCAUUGGAUGUUGUACUGGGGGGGAAAACCCCACCUGCUCCCUGUGCUAACGGAUCAAAUCGCCCAGGCGCACACGCGGGAACAUGGGGCUCCAGCUGACCAUGGGCAUUAAACAGAUGGGGGCCUGGAGGUAGGAGGCGAGUCAAGCCUUCCUGCCCUUCCUGAACUUAACGGUCCUCAGAGUCAUGUGACUAGCCUCCCUGGCUGCUCCUUCUGUACUGGUAUUGAUGGUAAUUUGAUUGUCCCCCUUCUCCAUUGCCCAAGCUGGGCACUUGCUGCCCUCAGCUCUGCUCUACACAGGACCCUGUCCAACCAGC
rnacentral:lncRNA from 1 species